GAUGAACGCUGGCGGCGUGCCUAAUACAUGCAAGUCGAGCGAACAGAUGAGGAGCUUGCUCCUCUGACGUUAGCGCCGGCCGGGUAGGUACCCGUUGAAUACCCUCCUAAUAGGCCGGGAAUACCUUCGGAAACCGGAAGCUAUUCCGGAAUAUUUAAUUAACCCGCAUGGUUAAUUGGUAAAGGCGGGUUUUCCUGUACCUUAUGGAGGAUUCCGCGCCGCAUUAGCUAGUUGGUAAGGUAACGGCUUACCAAGGCAACGAUGCGUAGCCGACCUGAGAGGGUGAUCGGCCACACUGGAACUGAGACACGGUCCAGACUCCUACGGGAGGCAGCAGUAGGGAAUCUUCCGCAAUAGGCGAAAGCCUGACGGAGCAACGCCGCGUGAGUGAUGAAGGUCUUCGGAUCGUAAAACUCUGUUAUUAGGGAAGAACAAAUGUGUAAGUAACUAUGCACGUCUUGACGGUACCUAAUCAGAAAGCCACGGCUAACUACGUG
rnacentral:rRNA from 1 species